rnacentral:rRNA from 1 species
CGAAAGUUAGAGGUUCGAAGGCGAUCAGAUACCGCCCUAGUUCUAACCAUAAACGAUGCCAACCAGCGAUCCGCCUGAGUUCCUCAAAUGACUCGGCGGGCAGCUUCCGGGAAACCAAAGUGUUUGGGUUCCGGGGGAAGUAUGGUUGCAAAGCUGAAACUUAAAGGAAUUGACGGAAGGGCACCACCAGGAGUGGAGCCUGCGGCUUAAUUUGACUCAACACGGGAAAACUUACCCGGCCCGGACACUGGAAGGAUUGACAGAUUAAGAGCUCUUUCUUGAUUCAGUGGGUGGUGGUGCAUGGCCGUUCUUAGUUGGUGGAGCGAUUUGUCUGGUUAAUUCCGAUAACGAACGAGACUCUAGCCUACUAAAUAGGCGUUCCGAUCCUUUAUGUCGGACGUUCUUCUUAGAGGGACAAGCGGCUUUUAGCCGCACGAGACAGAGCAAUAACAGGUCUGUGAUGCCCUUAGAUGUCCGGGGCCGCACGCGCGCUACACUGAAGGAAUCAGCGUGUGCUUUCCCUGUCUGGUAGGACUGGGUAACCCGUUAAACCUCCUUCGUGAUAGGGAUAGGGGCUUGUAAUUCUUCCCCUUGAACGAGGAAUUCCCAGUAAGCACGAGUCAUAAGCUCGUGUUGAUUACGUCCCUGCCCUUUGUACACACCGCCCGUCGCUACUACCG